GGAAAAUGCCCCCGGAGCGGAGUGGCCUGCUUGACCGCGCAGGGAUCCGCGACGCGCGCGGGAGGCCGCCGGGGACCGUCUGCNNNNNNNNNNNNNNNNNNNNNNNNNNNNNNNNNNNNNNNNNNNNNNNNNNNNNNNNNNNNNNNNNNNNNNNNNNNGUCUGCGCCCCUUGGGGCGUCGAGGCUGGCCACCGAAACGCCACAGGCUACUGUCGCGAGUAGGCUGAGUAAACUGGGUAGGAACUCGGAGCUCGCGGGUGACAACCCGGAGGGGCCCUGACCCCAUUCCCUACUCCAUCCUCUCCGUGGGACUCCAGCUUGGCGAGGCUGCGGCCAGGAUGUAGCUGUCCCCACUGUGAAGGAGCCCCCAGGGUGACCAGCUGCGAGGUGAGCCUGCUGCCCGCCCCGCCAGAGUGGCCCAGGCAUCUCGCAGGCAGCCGUCGCACAGCAGAGGCGCUGUUUAUUUGGCUUUCUGAAAAGAAGGGCGAAUGAACAAAGCUGGGGGCUCAUGAAGAGGGGGCAGGAAGGGGGGGUGAGAAAAAGAAAAGGGACACCCUCAUUUCCGAGAAAAAUUUUAAAGGUCAGAGGCAACUUUAGGAGCCACCAUUUUAUGGGUCCUAAAUCUCGUGGAGUGAAAACAUUAAAGUGACAAAGUGAUUCUGUUUGUUUUAUAGUAUCUAAUUGGGCUGCUUUGCAGACCUAAUGAGAUUAGAGGGAGGAAUCGUUUGCCGCCACUGCAGAAUAAACUGAUACAUUACUACCAGCCACAGGUUUGGAGGAUUGUAAGCUUGUUUUUUUUUUUUCUUCUUCUUUUGUUGUUAUUCCUCUAUUUUCUCUUUCCCCCUCCUGCCAAAUAAUUAUUUGCAAGUAGAUCGUGGGAAAAAAAAGCGGAGAAAAAAUCCUAGCAUCCUAGGACUAUAAUACAUAUCUAUUUAUUAUAUGUCUUUCGGUUAAUUCCAGAUCUGAGGAGCGCUGUUUUUCACUCCUAUGCGAAAGUCACCAGCGGGUAGGGCCUGAUUGCUACUUUUCAUGCAUAGUUUUAGACACAAGAGGGCAUUGUGACGUCGCUCCCGGCAGCGCCCAAUUGCAGGGCCAGUUCCGCGGCCCCACGUGGGGGUCCCGCGCUUCCAUUGGCCAGCGCCGAGCGAAGCUGCCACAUUAUUUUGUUACUUUUCAGUCCCUAUUUGGAACUGCUCUCGCGGCAGUUCAGACCUCGUGCUCUUCCUCUUCGCCUGUGUGUGGUAUCCGCAGGUCUGAGGCACUUUUUUGGCGCUCUCCUGCCGGCGCGCUCCGAUCGCUCCUCGCCCGGGACGCAGCGCUCGAGUUGGAAGCACCGAGGACCCUUGGCUGAGGCUUCCCGUGCCCACUGGAGUUAGGAUGUUGCCUUGUGCCUACUGAGCCCAGAGUUCCUCUUGGCCCCGGGAAAGGCUUGAAGCGGCGGCGGCAGCGGCAGUAGCGGCAGUAGCAGACGGAACAACAGGAUCCUCUUCGAGGGGGGCGUCGAAGCGCCCGCGCCGGGCUCUAGCUCUCACCCUCCGGCGGUUUUGCGGCGCCGAGCCGUCGCCUGUGUGCCAACCUCCUUCCUUUCCUCGCCGUGAGCCCCGGCCCGGCUGCCUCUAGGAUCUGACUUGCCAGCCCCGAAUGCUUGGGGCUACCCCCGCGCGCCCCCUUCGAGGCUCCCCGCACUGAGUGAUCCACAGGGGGCCCUCGCACCCCUCUGGAGGGACCCCCGGCCUCGGGACCCUGCGCCGGACCCAACGAUGUCCGCGCAGCCCCCGGCUCUGACGCUCUGC
rnacentral:lncRNA from 1 species